ACGAACGCUGGCGGCGUGCUUAACACAUGCAAGUCGAACGAUGAAGCCCAGCUUGCUGGGUGGAUUAGUGGCGAACGGGUGAGUAACACGUGAGUAACCUGCCCUUGACUCUGGGAUAAGCGCUGGAAACGGCGUCUAAUACCGGAUACGACCUGCCCCGGCAUCGGGUGUGGGUGGAAAGUUUUUCGGUCAAGGAUGGACUCGCGGCCUAUCAGCUUGUUGGUGAGGUAAUGGCUCACCAAGGCGACGACGGGUAGCCGGCCUGAGAGGGUGACCGGCCACACUGGGACUGAGACACGGCCCAGACUCCUACGGGAGGCAGCAGUGGGGAAUAUUGCACAAUGGGCGCAAGCCUGAUGCAGCAACGCCGCGUGGGGGAUGACGGCCUUCGGGUUGUAAACCUCUUUUAGUAGGGAAGAAGGACUUCGGUUUGACGGUACCUGCAGAAAAAGCACCGGCUAACUACGUGCCAGCAGCCGCGGUAAUACGUAGGGUGCAAGCGUUGUCCGGAAUUAUUGGGCGUAAAGAGCUCGUAGGCGGUUUGUCGCGUCUGCUGUGAAAACCCGAGGCUCAACCUCGGGCCUGCAGUGGGUACGGGCAGACUAGAGUGCGGUAGGGGAGAAUGGAAUUCCUGGUGUAGCGGUGGAAUGCGCAGAUAUCAGGAGGAACACCGAUGGCGAAGGCAGUUCUCUGGGCCGUAACUGACGCUGAGGAGCGAAAGCGUGGGGAGCGAACAGGAUUAGAUACCCUGGUAGUCCACGCCGUAAACGUUGGGCGCUAGAUGUGGGGACCUUUCCACGGUUUCCGUGUCGCAGCUAACGCAUUAAGCGCCCCGCCUGGGGAGUACGGCCGCAAGGCUAAAACUCAAAGGAAUUGACGGGGGCCCGCACAAGCGGCGGAGCAUGCGGAUUAAUUCGAUGCAACGCGAAGAACCUUACCAAGGCUUGACAUAUACCGGAAACUUCCAGAAAUGGUUGCCCCGCAAGGUCGGUAUACAGGUGGUGCAUGGUUGUCGUCAGCUCGUGUCGUGAGAUGUUGGGUUAAGUCCCGCAACGAGCGCAACCCUCGUUCUAUGUUGCCAGCACGUCAUGGUGGGAACUCAUAGGAGACUGCCGGGGUCAACUCGGAGGAAGGUGGGGAUGACGUCAAAUCAUCAUGCCCCUUAUGUCUUGGGCUUCACGCAUGCUACAAUGGCCGGUACAAAGGGCUGCGAUACCGUAAGGUGGAGCGAAUCCCAAAAAGCCGGUCUCAGUUCGGAUUGAGGUCUGCAACUCGACCUCAUGAAGUCGGAGUCGCUAGUAAUCGCAGAUCAGCAACGCUGCGGUGAAUACGUUCCCGGGCCUUGUACACACCGCCCGUCAAGUCAUGAAAGUCGGUAACACCCGAAGCCAGUGGCCUAACCGCAAGGAGGGAGCUGUCGAAGGUGGGAUCGGUGAUUAGGACUAAGUCGUAACAAGGUAGCCGUACCGGAAGGUGCGGCUGGAUCA
rnacentral:rRNA from 1 species